rnacentral:rRNA from 1 species
GUUGGUUAGCUUGCUAACCGGCGGACAGCGGCGGAAGGGAGAGUAACGCGUGGUUAUGUGCCCUGAAGACCGGGAUAGUGUUGGGAAACUGGCAGUAAUACCGGAUAAUAUCUUUGGAUCAAAGGUGUGAUUCCGCUUCAGGAUCGGACCGCGUACUAUUAGCUUGUUGGUGGGGUAAUGGCCCACCAAGGCUCAGAUGGUUACCGGGUGUGAGAGCAUGACCCGGCUCACUGGGACUGAGACACUGCCCAGACAUCUACGGAUGGCUGCAGUCGAGAAUCUUCGGCAAUGGACGAAAGUCUGACCGAGCGACGCCGCGUGCGGGAUGAAGGCCCUCGGGUUGUAAACCGCUGUCAGUUAGGAGGAAAUCUAUGAGAGCACUCUCUCAUAGUUGACCGAUUUUCAGAGGAAGGACGGGCUAAGUUCGUGCCAGCAGCCGCGGUAAGACGAACCGUCCAAACGUUAUUCGGUAUCACUGGGCUUAAAGCGUGCGUAGGCGGCUUGAUAGGUGAGAUGUGAAAGCCCACGGCCCAACCGUGGAAUUGCGUUUCAAACCCUCAAGCUCGAGGAAGAUAGGGGUGAUGGGAACUUAUGGUGGAGCGGUGAAAUGCGUUGAUAUCAUAGGGAACACCGGUGGCGAAAGCGCAUCACUGGAUCUUUUCUGACGCUGAGGCACGAAAGCUAGGGUAGCGAACGGGAUUAGAUACCCCGGUAGUCCUAGCCGUAAACGAUGAGCACUGGGUUGAGGGAACUAUCACAUUCUCUCGGCCGUAGCGAAAGCG